AGAGGCUUUGUUAGCGUACCCUAAAACGAGGUACUUAUCCCAAAGAGGCUUUGUUAGCGUACCCUAAAACGAGGUACUUAUCCCAAAGAGGCUUUGUUAGCGUACCCUAAAACGAGGUACUUAUCCCAAAGAGGCUUUGUUAGCGUACCCUAAAACGAGGUACUUAUCCCAAAGAGGCUUUGUUAGCGUACCCUAAAACGAGGUACUUAUCCCAAAGAGGCUUUGUUAGCGUACCCUAAAACGAGGUACUUAUCCCAAAGAGGCUUUGUUAGCGUACC